rnacentral:rRNA from 1 species
UAACUGCGAGUGAAGCGGGAAGAGCUCAAAUUUAAAAUCUGGCGGUGUUUUACCGUCCGAAUUGUAACCUAGAGAAGUGUUGCCCGUACUGGACCAUGUAUAAGUCUCCUGGGAUGGAGCGUCACAGAGGGUGAGAAACCCGUAUUUGACAUGGACUACCAGUGCAUUGUGGUAUGCUCUCAAAGAGUUGAGUUGUUUGGGAAUGCAGCUCUAAAUGGGUGGUAAAUUCCAUCUAAAGCUAAAUAUUGGCGAGAGACCGAUAGCGAACAAGUACCGUGAGGGAAAGAUGAAAAGAACUUUGGAAAGAGAGUUAAACAGUAUGUGAAAUUGUUGAAAGGGAAACGUUUGAAGUCAGUGAUUGUUGUUCAGGGAUCAAGUCAACAAGAAUUGUUGGGUGUAUUUCCUGUUCAAUAGGCCAACAUGAGUUUUGAGUGCUGGAGAAAGGCAUAGGGAAAGUGGCACCUUUUGGGUGUGUUAUAGCCCUAAGUCAUAUGCAGCGGUUAGGACUGAGGAGGACAGCGCGCCGCAAGGCCGGGUUUCGACCACGUUCGCGCUUAGGAUGUUGGCAUUAAUGGCUUUAAACGACCCGUC